rnacentral:rRNA from 1 species
CCUACGGGUGGCAGCAGUGAGGAAUAUUGGUCAAUGGGCGAGAGCCUGAACCAGCCAAGUCGCGUGAAGAUGAAGGAUUUAUUGUUUGUAAACUUCUUUUAUAUGGGAAUAAAGUGAGGAACGUGUUCCUUUUUGUAUGUACCAUAUGAAUAAGCAUCGGCUAACGCCGUGCCAGCAGCCGCGGUAAUACGGAGGAUGCGAGCGGUAUCCGGAUUUAUUGGGGUUAAAGGGUGCGUAGGUGGUUAAUUAAGUCAGCGGGGAAAGUUUGUGGCUCAACCAUAAAAUUGCAGUUGAAACUGGUUGACUUGAGUAUAUUUGAGGUAGGCGGAAUGCGUGGUGUAGCGGUGAAAUGCAUAGAUAUCACGCAGAACACCGAUUGCGAAGGCAGCUUACUAAACUAUAACUGACGCUGAGGCACGAAAGCGUGGGGAUCAAACAGGAUUAGAUACCCUUGUAGUC